rnacentral:rRNA from 1 species
UACGUAGGUGGCAAGCGUUGUCCGGAUUUAUUGGGUUUAAAGGGUGCGUAGGCGGCUUAUUAAGUCAGUGGUGAAAUACUCUAGCUCAACUAGAGGGGUGCCAUUGAUACUGAUGAGCUUGAGUACAGAUGAGGUAGGCGGAAUUGACGGUGUAGCGGUGAAAUGCUUAGAUAUCGUCAAGAACACCUAUAGCGAAGGCAGCUUACUAGGCUGUAACUGACGCUGAGGCACGAAGGUCAGGGGAGCAAACGGG